rnacentral:rRNA from 1 species
GACGAACGCUGGCGGCGUGCUUAGCACAUGCAAGUCGAACGGAAAGGCCCUGCUUUUGUGGGGUGCUCGAGUGGCGAACGGGUGAGUAACACGUGAGUAACCUGCCCUUGACUUUGGGAUAACUUCAGGAAACUGGGGCUAAUACCGGAUAGGAGCUCCUGCUGCAUGGUGGGGGUUGGAAAGUUUCGGCGGUUGGGGAUGGACUCGCGGCUUAUCAGCUUGUUGGUGGGGUAGUGGCUUACCAAGGCUUUGACGGGUAGCCGGCCUGAGAGGGUGACCGGCCACAUUGGGACUGAGAUACGGCCCAGACUCCUACGGGAGGCAGCAGUGGGGAAUAUUGUACAAUGGGCGGAAGCCUGAUGCAGCAACGCCGCGUGCGGGAUGACGGCCUUCGGGUUGUAAACCGCUUUCGCCUGUGACGAAGCGUGAGUGACGGUAAUGGGUGAAGAAGCACCGGCUAACUACGUG